rnacentral:rRNA from 1 species
GUGCGAAGAGGAAAGAGCAUGUGGUGGAUGCCUUGGCACUAGAAGGCGAAGAAGGACGCGGUUAACUGCGAAAAUCCUCGGCUAGCUGUAAGCGAGCUUAGAUCCGGGGGUAUCCGAAUGGGGCAACCCGUCAUAGCUAGAACUAUGACAUCCCUGACCGCUAAAGUGUUUAUUAAGUAUUUAAGAUACUUAAGUGAGCAUUUUAGUGGUCAGGGAGGCAUACGCGGAGAACUGAAACAUCUUAGUAUCCGCAGGAAGAGAAAGUAACAACGAUUUCCUAAGUAGUGGCGAGCGAACGGGAAAUAGCCUAAACCCUUCACCUAUCAGUCUUUCGGUAGUUAGCGUAAUAAUUACUACAAGAGAUACUGAUAGGUGAAGGGGGUAGUGGGACUUGCGACAUCGUCUUUAUCUUUAUAGGAGAACAUAUUGGAAAGUAUGACCGUAGAGGGUGAUAGUCCCGUAUCCGAAAUAGAGUUAAAGAUGUAGCGAGCACCCGAGUAGCCCGGGGCACGAGAAAUCCUGGGUGAAUCAGCGAGGACCAUCUCGUAAGGCUAAAUACUUCUGGUGACCGAUAGUGAAUUAGUACCGUGAGGGAAAGGUGAAAAGCACCCCGGGAGGGGAGUGAAAUAGAACCUGAAACCGCAUGCUUAUCAUCGGUCGGAGCCCUUCACCAUAUUUAUCAUACUAUAGAGUAAUGGUCAAUAUGGUGAAGGGUGACGGCGUGCCUUUUGCAUAAUGAGCCGGCGAGUCGAUUUAAUCAGCGAGGUUAAGUAUUACAGGUAUGUAGCCGUAGCGAAAGCGAGUCUUAACAGGGCGUUUAGUUGAUUGGAUCGGACCCGAAACCUGGUGAUCUACCCAUGUCCAGGAUGAAGGUACGGUAACACGUACUGGAGGUCCGCACCAACCGAUGUUGAAAAAUCGGUGGAUGAGGUGUGGGUAGGGGUGAAAGGCCAAUCAAACCAGGAGAUAGCUGGUUCUCUCCGAAAACUGUUUAGGCAGAGCCUCAACAUAGAAUUAAGGAGGUAGAGCACUGAUUGGGCUAGGGGGCUAACCCGUCUACCGAACCCAGUCAAACUCCGAAUGCCUUAAUUUGUUUGUUGGGAGAAAGGGUGCGAGGGAUAAGCUUCGUAUCCGAGAGGGCAAGAACCCGGACCGUCAGCUAAGGUCCCUAAAUAUAUACUAAGUGCUAAAGGAUGUUUCAUUGCAGAGACAGCCAGGAUGUUGGCUUAGAAGCAGCCAUCAUUUAAAGAGUGCGUAAUAGCUCACUGGUCGAGUGGUAAUGCACCGAAGAUGAGCGGGACUCAAGUAUAUUACCGAAGCUGCGGAUAGUGAUUGUAUUAAUAUGGUCAUUAUGGUAGGAGAGCAUUGCAGUUGCGUAGAAGUAGUACUGUGAGGUAUUAUGGAGCGGCUGGAAGAGACCAUGCCGGCAUGAGUAGCGAUAAUCAAGGUGAGAAACCUUGACACCGUAAGCCUAAGGUUUCCUGAGUAAAGUUAAUCUUCUCAGGGUUAGUCGGAUCCUAAGGAGAGGCCGGAAGGCGUAUCUGAUGGGUAUCAGGUUAAUAUUCCUGUACUUACAACAGCUAGUGAUGGAGUGACGCAGUUUUGCGUUGGAGACGGGUGUUGGAUAUCCCGUUGAACGUGUGUAGGCUGACAAUCAGGCAAAUCCGGUUGUCAUUAAGGCCGAGGCAUGGGACGAGCCCCUUAGGGCGAAAGUCCAAUUAGAGAGCUGCCGAGAAAUAGCUUCUAAGCGUUAAUCUGUUGUAAUCCGUACCGCAAACCGACUCAGGUAGGCGAGGAGAGUAUCCUCAGGUGUUCAAGAGAACUCUGGUUAAGGAACUAGGCAAAAUGACCCCGUAACUUCGGGAGAAGGGGUGCCCCGUUAUCGUGAGGUAAUUUACUUACUAAGCGAGAGGGGGUCGCAGUGAAGAGGCCCAAGCGACUGUUUAUCAAAAACACAGGUCUAUGCGAAGUCGUAAGACGCAGUAUAUAGACUGACACCUGCCCGGUGCCGGAAGGUUAAAUGGAGGGGUUAGCUGUAAGGCGAAGCUCUGAGAUGAAGCCCCGGUAAACGGCGGCCGUAACUAUAACGGUCCUAAGGUAGCGAAAUUCCUUGUCGGGUAAGUUCCGACCUGCACGAAUGGUGUAACGACUUGGGCGCUGUCUCGACCAGGGACUUGGUGAAAUUGCAGUGGCGGUGAAGAUGCCGCCUACCCGCGAAAGGACGGAAAGACCCCGUGAACCUUUACUGUAUCUUGAUAUUGUGAUUUGGUGCGGUAUGUGUAGGAUAGGUGGGAGGCUAUGAACUUGGUGCGCCAGCAUCAGGGGAGCCAACGUUGAAAUACCACCCUUAUUGUAUUGAAUUUCUAACGAGUAUUUAAACAGGUAUUCGGACAUUGUCAGGAGGGCAGUUUGACUGGGGCGGUCGCCUCCAAAAAAGUAACGGAGGCUUACAAAGGUUCCUUCAGGUUGUAUGGUAACCAACCUUAGAGCGUAAAGGUAUAAAGGAGCUUGACUGCGAGACUGACGGGUCGAGCAGGUGGGAAACCAGGUCUUAGUGAUCCGGCGGUUCUGAAUGGAAGGGCCGUUGCUCAAAGGAUAAAAGGUACUCCGGGGAUAACAGGCUAAUACCAUCCAAGAGUUCACAUCGACGAUGGUGUUUGGCACCUCGAUGUCGGCUCAACUCAUCCUGGGGCUGAAGAAGGUCCCAAGGGUUCGGCUGUUCGCCGAUUAAAGAGUUACGCGAGCUGGGUUCAGAACGUCGUGAGACAGUUCGGUCCCU